UCUGUAUCUACAAAUACAGCUUCUUUUUAGCAUCACCAGAAUCAUUUCAUAAAGGAAUCUUUAAGAGGUAGGUAAUGAUAUGAACAUUAUUUAUAGAGAAUUCAGGACAGGAGGUUGUAUGAUUGUUUGAGAAGACGUACUUGCUCUCCAAUCGUAGUCUGCAAAUUCCUAGCCAUCUGUAUUUGUAUUUCUCUCUCUUUUUUUUUUUUGGAGACAGAGUCUUGCUCUGUUGCCCAGGAUGGAGUGCAGUGGCACGAUCUGGGCUCACUGCAGCCUCCGCCUCCCAGGUUCAAGUGAUUCUCUUGCCUUAGUCUCCCAAGUAGCUGGGAUUACAGGCACGCACCACCACACUCAGCUAAGUUUUUGUAUUUUUAGUAGAGACGAGGUUUCACCAUGUUGGCCAGGCUGGUCUCAAACUCCUGACCUCAAGUGAUCUGCCCGCCUUGGCCUCCCAAAAUGCUGGGAUUACCAGUGUGAGCCACCAUGCCUGGCCUGUAUUCCUCUUUAACAAGGUAACACCAUGUCUUUCCUUCUUCAAGUUAAUAGGUCCUUGAGAAUUCAUUUCUGGGAGUGGGUUAAGUGGUUCUGCAGUAUACAGGUUGGAUACAGAUACUGGAGUCAGGUUUACCUGGUUAGAAUCCCCUUCGCCUCUGUUUUUGCAGCUGUGCGACCUCAGCAAAUUGUUACCUUCUCUGAGCUUUAGUUUACCCAUAUGUUACUGUAGGAUUACCUCAGCCCCAGAAAAAGUGAUCCUGAAACAACUGUGGAAAUGAAGUCUGCUUUGUGUUCGUCUGUUGGGAAAAGAUUGGAUCACCAGUCAUGCUGUGGGUGUUUAGCAGGCUGCUGGCUUCUGCCCACAAUAAAGAGGCAUCUCUGAAGGUUCUGAUAUUUUUAAAAAGAGAAGCAAAAGGGCAGUUAGUGGAUCUCAAGGGUUCGUAUGAACGACACAUUUCCCUGCCCCCACAAUCCCUAGGGCUGCCUCUCUUUCCAGGGCUUCAAGUUGGCCCAGGGUAUCUGGCUUUCUAUACUUCUUGUUUUUCUGGGUCAUGAACUGGCAGGGAGCAUGCAGCACUGUGCCCUUAGCAUUCAGGUGUUUCACAAGCACACUGCUUCUCUCUUGCCCUCAUUAGAGUCAGCUGUCUCCAGCAUACAGAGAAGGACGUGCAGAGCCUCUGUAUGCAUG
rnacentral:lncRNA from 10 species